rnacentral:misc_RNA from 1 species
GAGUCAACUGCUAUAGCAAACAAGGAUACAAUCUUUUCAUUCAAAGAUACUCAACCUAAUGUUGAAGCCAAUUCUCUGGAAAAGAAUAAGUCUGCAGCUCAACAUCCUUACAAGAAACGAGCCUUUAAGAUGAGUGCAUAUGAGGAUUCUUUUGAGCUAGAAGAGAAUGGGCUUUCAGCUCAGUUAGCUGACGGGAGAGGGAAGCUGGAA